rnacentral:lncRNA from 1 species
AGUGGUUCGCUGCCCCGCCGCCCCCCAUCCUCCCGCGCCGUCGCCGCCCGCCGUCCUCUCCUCCCGUGUCUUCUGCCGCUUGCCCCACAUCAUGGUGCGCCAUGGGUGCCAUCCAGAUCGAGCACGGGCUCUGCCUUCGUCGUCGGCGGCGGGGUUCCUCUCCUCCGUCGAGCAGCAGCGGCGGCGUGGAAUGCAGCGGGAUCGGCCUGCCACAGGGUCCUCUCCUCCGUCGAGCAGCGGCGUCCGCGCGGGACACAGCAGGCUCGGCGCGGCGAUGGAUUUCUCUGGCGGGUCAUUCGAAACCGCCGAUGUGCCGACAACUCCUCACCUAUGUUCCUCAAUCUGUAGCCGCGAGAAACUGAAAGAGCCAUGAUUCUCUCUGUACAUAAAGAAAUCUUCUCAAUUUCAUGCUUUGAGGACGUAAGGAUCUGAAUCAACAUAGUGCAGAUGCCAAUAGCAUGCAAAGAUGCCAAGGUUAGUGCAAUUGUGGAGAUAUUGUUUUAUUCUGAAGUGUCAUGUUUCAGCAUUUGACCAUGUGAGAGGGAUUCACAAUACAUUAUAUCUGCAAGCAGUUGCUACAAGAACCUUAGCUUGAUUCAGAAACGCAUGUUGUAUCUUGUAUGAGGUCCUGUAUUAGGACUAUCGGAUCUUCUCAAACACUUGCACGACCUCCUGCAGCUUUUAGUGAUGUCCUAUGAUAGGGAUAUAUCAAACUCAAAUGGUUCAUCAACGUAUGUUGUAUGGGGUCCUAGAUUAGGACUAUCGGAUCUUCUCGAACACUUGCACGACAUCUGAUUGUUGUUGGCGCAUGUUAA